rnacentral:rRNA from 1 species
AGGAUAAACGCUGGCGGCGUGCCUAACACAUGCAAGUCGAACGUCUCUUCUUUCGGGAAGAGGAGUGGCGGACGGGUGAGGAACACGUGGGAACCUGCCCUUUAGUGAGGAAUACCGGCGAGAAAUCGCCGACAAGACCGCAUAGCCCUCUUUGAUGAGAGUCAAAGAAGGAAAGCUUCGCAAGAGGCGCUAGAGGAGGGGCCUGCGUCCGAUUAGCUAGUUGGUGGGGUAAGAGCCUACCAAGGCGUCGAUCGGUAGCUGGUCUGAGAGGACGAUCAGCCACACUGGGAUUGAGAACGGCCCAGACUCCUACGGGGGGCAGCAGUGAGGAAUUUUCGGCAAUGGGGGAAACCCUGACCGAGCAACGCCGCGUGCAGGAAGACGGCCUUCGGGUUGUAAACUGCUUUUCUUGGGAAGAGGAAGGACGGUACCAGAGGAAUCGAGCCCGGCUCACUACGUGCCAGCAGCCGC